CAGCAGUCGCCGCGGUAAUACGGAGGGGGCUAGCGUUGUUCGGAAUUACUGGGCGUAAAGCGUACGUAGGCGGCUUUGUAAGUUAGAGGUGAAAGCCUGGUGCUCAACACCAGAACUGCCUUUAAGACUGCAUCGCUUGAACGUCGGAGAGGUGAGUGGAAUUCCGAGUGUAGAGGUGAAAUUCGUAGAUAUUCGCAAGAACACCAGUGGCGAAGGCGGCUCACUGGCUCGAUUCUGACGCUGAGGUGCGAAAGCGUGGGGAGCAAACAGGAUUAGAUACCCGCGUAGUCCCUGUCUCUUAUAC
rnacentral:rRNA from 1 species